GAAAAUCAUUAUCAUUAGUUAUCCACUUGUAAUCUAUACAACAUCCGCAACGACUACAGACGCAACAUGAACUUCUUGAAGAUAUUGUCCACUUUCGUCUUUGGUCUGAUUGUGGCCGCUGGUGUCGUGCAAGCUGACCCCGAGCCCAGCAAAAACAUGUACAUGCCAAAAGGCCAGCUUGGGUCCGGUGGUAUGAAAAAUCUUGGACGCUAAAUUAUUAUUAUUUACUAUAGAUCACAAACGUUGAUAUUGGCUUAUGUAUUACUUUAAAUACUUAAUAAAUAUUAAUAUUGCCUAGA